GUUCUUGUAGUUGAAUACAACGGUGGUUUUUCAAGUCAUUAGUCUUGGUUAGAACCCAGGCAGGAAUU
rnacentral:tRNA from 1 species